GCUCACGUAAUUAGCUAUUUCAGUCUUACCCAGACUGUUUUCUUCCCAAUUGUCUGUCCUCACACCAGGGAAAGACUGGCUAAUUUCUGUAACUUCAGAAUACACAUUAAUAUUCUUUAAUAUUUAGAUUCCCAUGGUCAAUUAUUCAUCCUGGGCUAGUACUCGGCAGUUUCUCUUUUGUCAGUUCAUGCGCCACCCAGGCAGCAUAUGCUGAGGAAGGCACAAUUUCUACAUUUAUCCUAAGCCAAACAUGAGCAGGAAAACUGAGAGCUAUUCUAAACAUAAUUUUAUCGGGUCAAAAAGAAACAACUGCUAGGCCGAUCUGGCCGAUGACUCCUCCAGUAGCUGUGAAAUCGAGAAUGCACAUCAUUUUCUUGCUGUGUUCCUAAGGUAGAGGAGACCACUUUGAAGACCCGCAGUCCAUAUUGGCAUUGUAGAAUUUGAGCAGAGGGCCAUUUUGUUCUGUACUAAGAAAAAUUCUUCUGCCUUGAGAUGCUGCUAAUCUGUAACCCUACCCCCAACCCUGUGCUCCCUGAAACACGUGCUGUGUCAACUCAGGGUUAAAUGGAUUAAGGGCUGUGCAGGAUGUGCUUUGUUAAACAAAUGCUUGAAGGCAGCUUGCUCGUUAAGAGUCAUCACCACUCCCUAACCUCAAACCACUCCCUAAUCUCAAGUACUCAGAGACACAAAACACUGCGGAAGGCUGCAGGGACCUCUGCCUGGGAAAGCCAGGUAUUGUCCAAGGUUUCUCCCCAUGUGAUAGUCUGAAAUAUGGCCUCAUGGGAAGGGAAAGACCUGACCGUCCCCCAGCCCGACACCCGUAAAGGGUCUUUGCUGAGAGGAUUAGUAAAAGAGG
rnacentral:lncRNA from 1 species